rnacentral:rRNA from 1 species
UACGUAGGGGGCAAGCGUUGUCCGGAUUUAUUGGGCGUAAAGAGCUCGUAGGCGGCUCAGUAAGUCGGGUGUGAAACCUCCAGGCUCAACCUGGAGACGCCACCCGAUACUGCUGUGGCUUGAGUCCGGUAGGGGAGCGUGGAAUUCCUGGUGUAGCGGUGAAAUGCGCAGAUAUCAGGAGGAACACCAGUGGCGAAGGCGGCUUCCUGGCCUGUUCUUGACGCUGGAGGCGCGAAAGCUAGGGGAGCAAACGGG